ensembl:lncRNA
GAGAAAUGAUGAAAAAGAAUAGUGUUCUCCAAGAAACACACAUAUUUAUCAUAAAAGAAUUUUAUGUUAAUUGCUACUGAUUAAAUAGCUAAAAAAGCACAUUAGAAAUUACAAUCAUUCAUACAUACGUAAUUAUGUCAAUAAUCAUGACAUACAACGAAAAAAAGAAAGAAACAGAGCAAAUGGAAGUGAUACAUCCAGUUAGGGAUGUUUAAUCUAAAAUAGCAGCUAGCCAAGAGAACACUUGGCAAGGAAGAUAAUAAUGCCUGAGAUACGCAUGUGGGUGCUGGGCCAGAAUUACUUCAUAUUCAACUGUAUGAAAUAUUUUACUAUUUUCUUUAGGUCGGUGAGGCUUUGAAAAGCCAUCCUAGCAGUCCAGGUACCUAUGCUGUUUCAAUACAGUGUCAGAAUAGAUGGCUGACAAAGAGCUGACGUGGGCAUCAACACCGCAUUUUCACAUAGAAAGAGUGAUGAAAAGAAUACAUGGAAGAAUUUCUCCACCUUACCUCUGUCACCUGAACUCCUACUUGGGUGCUAUUACAUGUUUUCACCAUACAACCUAUAAUUAGACCAUAUCAUCCAAAAAUCCUUUACGAUUUCUAUUACAGUUAAUACUGCUCCGAUUUAUUUUCUCCACAUCUGCUGACAGAUUUCCUGCCUUUUUACAUCUUGGUCAACCUAUCCCUCAUGUCAUGAUCAACUCCAUCAAAAGAAAAAAAAAAGAAGGAUGGUUUUCAAACGUGACUCCCGUCGGAGGGGAACAGGGAGCACACCAGAUGUGCAAACCAGACCCUGCACUCAGGGAAGUCAUACCCAGGCCAAAUAUUCCAGAGUUGUCCUCAUUAUUCAAGGCGCACCAAAAUAACAACAAAUAUCCCAAACAAUGGAGCUGUCACGAAGCAGAGAGGCUGGUAUCUUCAUGGUGGCCCAUGGGUGUGGAACAUACUGUGAAGAAAGAUUAAAACAAAUCUGUUCUCUUCUGGAGAAAAAAAAUUGGAACCCGUUCCUUUGCCAGUUCAAAUAACAAUAAUAGCUCAAGGGAAGAGACACAAAAGAAAGCGGAGGAGAAAAGGAAACUCAUCUGCAGAAGAGAGAAAAAUAUACUGCAGUAUACAAUACUGAAAGAACAAAUAGAAAUAAAAUCUGAACGCUGUGUAUUAUCAUUGGCUACUAUUAUGAACCCUAUUGACAUAUUGGAAGGAAGAAGAUGAAAGAUCAGAGCUGAAAUCUCCAUGGGUGGAAAUCAACAACAUUCUUCCCUGACUACAGAAAGCUAUGCCAAUUUAGAACAGCUGCUAUUUGGACUGUACUGGGUUUUGUUCUCCUUUUUCUUCAAUUUCUGGUUUUAUUUUUAUGAUCAGGGCGUAGAGGAUGGAUUGACAGUGUUGCCUGUGGAUCUCAUGGGACAAGCCUGCUGUUUUGAGUUUUCAUAGCCUUUUGAAUGCCUAAUGCAACGCUAAUUUGAAUAACUAACAAAGUUUUCUUUGGCAAAAAAACCCUAUUUGGUAUAUGAACAACUAAAUGAUGACUUCAGAUGAUAAUUACCGAAUUGCGUUACUGCUGAUUCGUAAUUGAAUGUUUGAGUAUUGGAACAGAGAGAAAGUAAAUUCUCUAUCACUGACCAUGUCAGGAUAAUCCUAACUGCAUUCAGAGGGAGUCGUUUUAGACUUCAGUUCAACUUCUGCUUGGAAAAUAUGUUUUCUUCCUCAUGGAAAACAACGCAUUGUAUCUUAAUUAGCUUUUUGGUCUGUUUUGCCACCAACACUUAUCUGCUUGUCAGGGACACUUACAAAGAGUAUCACAGUCCAACACAUCUUUGCAAUUGUGAUUGUUUUAAAAAUGAAUUAUUGCAAACAAAUAGGAGUAAGUAUUUCUUAGUUACAUUGGCAGAGCAGUAGACAAUGAAUACAGAUAGUUUCUUCUUUGUUUCACAGUCUUUUAAAUAGGUGUGUGCUAGCCUUCAGAGAUGGCAAAUAACAGAUAAAUAAUUAGAACAGAAGUAGAAAACAACAGUGAAAUAAAACAUACCACA